CCUACGGGUGGCAGCAGUGAGGAAUAUUGGUCAAUGGGCGCGAGUCUGAACCAGCCAAGUAGCGUGAAGGAUGACUGCCCUACGGGUGGUAAACUUCUUUUAUAAAGGAAUAAAGUGAGGCACGUGUGCCUUUUUGUAUGUACUUUAUGAAUAAGGAUCGGCUAACUCCGUGCCAGCAGCCGCGGUAAUCCGGAGGGUCCGAGCGUUAUCCGGAUUUAUUGGGUUUAAAGGGAGCGUAGAUGGGUUUUUAAGUCAGUUGUGAAAGUUUACGGCUCAACCGUAAAAUUGCAAUUGAUACUGGCAGUCUUGAGUACAGUUGAGGUAGGCGGAAUUCGUGGUGUAGCGGUGAAAUGCUUAGAUAUCACGCAGAACACCGAUUGCGAAGGCAGCUUACUAAACUGCGACUGACAUUGAUGCUCGAAAGUGUGGGUAUCAAACAGGAUUAGAUACCCUUGUAGUC
rnacentral:rRNA from 1 species